GUCUGCCCUCCUACUGCCUUGAACACACUUGAUCCCACAUGAUCUCAGAAGCUAAGCUGGGCCAGACCUGGAUGGGAAACAAAGGCUGAUU
rnacentral:rRNA from 1 species